GAUGAACGCUGGCGGCGUGCCUAAUACAUGCAAGUCGAGCGAACAGACGAGGAGCUUGCUCCUUUGACGUUAGCGGCGGACGGGUGAGUAACACGUGGGCAACCUACCUAUAAGACUGGGAUAACUUCGGGAAACCGGAGCUAAUACCGGAUAAUAUUUCGAACCGCAUGGUUCGAUAGUGAAAGAUGGCUCUGCUAUCACUUAUAGAUGGACCUGCGCCGUAUUAGCUAGUUGGUAAGGUAACGGCUUACCAAGGCAACGAUACGUAGCCGACCUGAGAGGGGGACAGGCGACGGAGGGACUGAGAUACGGCCCAGACUGGUACGGGGGGAAGCGGUGGGGAAUAUUGCACAAUGGGAGGAAGCAUGAAGCAGCAGCUCAGCGGGCGGGAAGAAGGCCUACGGGUUGUAACACGAGGUCGCCGGUGACGAAGCGCGAGUGACGGGAAGGGGUAAAGAAGCAACGGCUACAGACGUG
rnacentral:rRNA from 1 species